GAGGUUCGAAGGCGAUCAGAUACCGCCCUAGUUCUAACCAUAAACGAUGCCAGCCAGCGAUCCGGCUGUGUUCCUCAAAUGACACGCCGGGCAGCUUCCGGGAAACCAAAGCUUUUGGGUUCCGGGGGAAGUAUGGUUGCAAAGCUUAAACUUAAAGGAAUUGACGGAAGGGCACCACAAGCCAUGGAGCAUGCGGUUCAAUUUGACUCAACACGGGAAAACUUACCUGGCCCGGACACAGGAAGGAUUGACAGAUUAAGAGCUCUUUCUUGAUUCUGUGAGUGGUGGUGCAUGGCCGUUCUUAGUUGGUGGAGUGAUUUGUCUGCUUAAUUGCGUUAACGAACGAGACUCUAGCCUACUAAAUAGACGUUCCGAUCCUCUUAGUCGGACGCUCUUCUUAGGGGGACAGGCGGCGACUAGCCGCACGAGACAGAGCAAUAACAGGUCUGUGAUGCCCUCAGAUGUCCGGGGCCACACGCGCGCUACAUUGAAGGAAUCAGCGUGUGCUUUCCCUGUCCGACAGGACUGGGUAACCCGUUGAACCUCCUUCGUGCUGGGGAUAGGGGCUUGCAAUUGUUCCCCUUGAACGAGGAAUGCCUAGUAAGCACGAGUCAUAAAUUCGUGUUGAUUAGGUCCCUGCCCUUUGUACACACCGCCCGUCGCUAUAAGCGAUUGAAUGGUUUAGUGAGGUCUUCGGACUGGCGCUCGAAUUGGCCUUCCGGUCGAGUCGACGUGCCGGAAAGAUGACCAAACUUGAUCAUUUAGAGCAUAUAAAAGUCGU
rnacentral:rRNA from 1 species